rnacentral:rRNA from 1 species
AGAGACGGAGCCGAAGCGAAAGCGAGUCUGAAGAGGGCGAAUUAGUAUGCGGAUGUAGACCCGAAACCAAGUGACCUACCCAUGUCCAGGUUGAAGGUGCGGUAAAACGCACUGGAGGACCGAACUCGUGUACGUUGAAAAGUGCUGAGAUGAGGUGUGGGUAGCGGUGAAAUUCCAAACGAACUUGGAGAUAGCUGGUUCUCUCCGAAAUAGCUUUAGGGCUAGCCUCGGAAUUAGGAUCGUGGAGGUAGAGCCACUGUUUGGACUAGGGGCCCGUCAUGGGUUACCGAAUUCAGAUAAACUCCGAAUGCCAUCGAUUUAUGUCCGGGAGUCAGACGGUGAGUGAUAAGAUCCAUCGUCGAAAGGGGAACAGCCCAGACCACCAGUUAAGGUCCCUAAAUAUAUGUUAAGUGGAAAAGGAUGUGGAGUUGCAUAGACAACUAGGAUGUUGGCUCAGAAGCAGCCACCAUUUAAAGAGUGCGUAAUAGCUCACUAGUCGAGUGAUCCUGCGCCGAAAAUGUACCGGGGCUUAAACAUAUUACCGAGACUGUGGAUGCCACCAUUAGGUGGCGUGAUAGGAGAGCGUUCUAAGGGCGACGAAGGCAGACCGUGAGGACUGUUGGAGCGCUUAGAAGUGAGAAUGCCGGUAUGAGUAGCGAAAGAUAGGUGAGAAUCCUAUCCACCGUAUGACUAAGGUUUCCUGGGGAAGGCUCGUCCUCCCAGGGUUAGUCGGGACCUAAGCCGAGGCCGAGAGGCGUAGGCGAUGGAUAACAGGUUGAGAUUCCUGUACUAGUUAAACUUGUUUGAACAAUGGAGGGACGCAGGAGGCUAAGGAAUGCACCCGAUUGGAAGUGGGUGUCCAAGCCGUAAGUCUGAAGUCGAGUCAAAUGCUUGA